UACAACUUAUACAACUUAUGCUUUAAGUUUUCACGGUUACAACUUAUUCAUCGUUUCAUGUUUAGUUUCUUCCCCUUCCCCACCUUUUGAUUCACACGGUUUCAUAUUCCUGUUUACGGUUUCAGCUUCUGUUUUGGAUUCUAACGGCAGCCUCUCUGUCUUCCUUCCUCUUCUCACAUCUAUAUAAAUACUAAUGUAAGCUGGGUUAUUCAGUUGAGGGUGUUGAAUUUGUUACUGCUGGGUUACUGCUAGGUUACUUUCUAUUACAUUACAUGCCUAGGUUUAGGACCAUGAAUGAUGGGAAUAUUUGGCGUUGGGAGAGAAAAUGACAUAAUGCACAUUUGAAGGGUAAAGUUUCAAUAUCGUUUAUCUUCAAUUAAUGAGGAAUUCUUUGUAAGCAUGACUGCAUGAGUCAUUAGCUCACAUUGACUACAACCAUGCUCUUUGUAGACACUGCUCAUCGCUCUCAUCCAUUGAAUAGUUUGGUGAACUAUUUGGAUCGCAGCAAUGUGGGUGGUUAGUUGGUAUAUCUUGUGUAGUCUAGCUCCCUGUCCAGAAAUUUUUGUGCUCUCAUAAUAAACUAAAUGCUAUUGUUAUUUGAGAGAGGUAGAUUGUCUAAUGUUUGCUUAUUGAGAAAAAAUUUCUUUUUAACUAUUAGUUAGGAAUGAACACCUUUUAGCUUUACCAUUUGAGUUCUUAAAAUAGAAAUAGUAUUUUUCACUAUAGUAAAUAAAAAUUUUUCCCGCGCAUUACGCGGGUCUGCGACUAGUUGACAUAAAAAUUGGUCACUCAUAUUGUGUGACUUGAUGCAUUCCAUUUAUGUACUAAUAUCAAUGCUUGUUUUAUUGUAUUUUCACUUGGUAUAGGAGUGCAUGUUCUAAUUAAAUAAAUCUGAGUAGAUUAGGUUUCAAUUUUUUUUUUCUUUUUUUGGAAAUAUAAUAAACAAAUUAUUGCUUUUAUCACCUAGUCCCUUUAAUGUUUUUCUCAAACUUAGGUCUGAUUGGUUCUCUGGAUCAAUAGAUUAGUUAUCAAAUAGAAGAGAAGGAAUGGUUAUAUACCAAGAAUAAAAUAGAAUUUAGGAAUGUAAAUACUGAAAUUUUUAGUUGAAUACUUGAAUCGAGCCUAUUUACAUGCACUUUCUCUUCUUGCUCACUUUCCUCUUGGAAACUGCAUCAUUUGGCUUGCUCACUUUCCUCUUGGAAAUUGCAUCAUUAGGUUUGUCAAGUAAGAAAAGAUUCUCCACAUAAUUAUCAGCAAAAGAAUAAUCUAGGCUUCUACAAAACCCUAAAGUCUUCACUUGUUGGCUCUCAGGGUCAUAUGAACAGAGCUCGCAACCAAGUAAUAGUUCUUUCUGCACUAAUAAAUGACCAUUCUUCCGGAAGCCUAACACUUUACACAAUUGCCUAUUGAGGUCAAUAGUGCACAGUUUAGUCCAAGAAUCAACAAUGCCAUACUCUUUCAUCACAAAAACAGAACAACACUUGACGCCCAUACAACACUCGCCCAUAUACUCAUAACAUGUUAGAGAAAGAAAUCCCUUGAAUACCAAGAUAUCAAUAUCAACCUUGAAUUUGAAAUUACCUUUUGGCAAGGAUAUCAAGCGAAAAACCUCAUCUAACAAAUCAAAUGACAAAACUAUUGAACCCCGGGCAUCACACUCACUCGCCGCAAAAUAAAUAGCUCCAUUUUCUUCUAUUUUAUUCUAUAGUAAAACAAAGUCUCGAUACUGAUUGGUUCUUUUCUCUGUGUUUUUGGUGAAAAUUUUCUAAUCAUGUUCACGUUUCAUGUAGGAGUCCUUGUAUCAUUCAGUCUGGGAAUUCAGCAAAUGUGACUGGAAGCUUCAUUCUAUUUUUAUACGCAAACAAUUUUUUGAAAUCAGCUUACGAGUUGAAGGUGGGUGUGUAGCUUUAAGGUGGUUGAAGGAGGAAGCAAUUCAAUGCAUGGAAGAGGUGGAUUGGCCAUUGAUAUUCAGGAUUGCCCCAAUUUGACAAUAUCAUUGAUUGGAGGGAUUUAUGCCCUCACUACUUUUGUGAAUACUGGAAAAUUCAUUAGUGUCACCACAAUGAUGCAAAAGGAAACAAGUGAGGAUUGCACUUACAUCCUAGAGUUGGAAGGGGACCUGUUUCAACAAUUGCAGGUUGCCUUGGGUUAAGACUUAAGACCGAAAGUUAAUGCUCAUAGUAGUACCUAAAAUAAAGGAACUUUUCAUUUUCCUGAUGGUUGCCUUUCAGUUAUUGUACACUCCUAGAGGUUAAUGUUACAAAGAUGCAUUGGCACAGGACAAGUUGAAGUGUAGAUGAUUAUCAAAGUUUAUGAAGUGAUCUUUGGUAGUUUCAGGUGGCGUAAUUAUGUUGACAUAUGUUGGUAAUUUCUUUUAUAAAGAAUGUAAGUAGCCUUCAUGACUUUUAUGAUAGGUCAUGAGUUGCCCAAGCAAUGGACAUCCCAGAGAUUGAAGUCUAUUUAGGAAGAUUUAACUCCACUAUAGGUAUGGUGAGUUCAUCAGUUAUUGGCUUUUAGCAAAUGCCCUAAGGACCAUUACUAAAGGAAACAAGUUUAAGGGUGCAUGUUUCUUCAAACCUAGCUGGUAAUCCGAUUAUGCAAAAAUCAUUGGAAAAAGAAUGAGGUUUGAUAGGAUCUAAUGAAUGAAGCGCAUAGAUUUUUGUUAGCGCAGGGUACUCUCUAAUUUCAAUUUUCAAGGAUAGCUUUAUUCAUGGUGAAUGAUUCUUGGACUAUUCAACCAUUAAUCCUUGAGAUGGCUCAUAGGACUUCUGUGAACAAUGUUUACUUGGUCAGUGCAUUCAGUUCAUGAGCAUGACAUUGCUUUCAAAAUAGAAGUCACUUACAUUCUUAAGGAUGCUAAGCAUAUUAAUAACCUAGCAAUGGAGAAUUAGAUAUAUCAUAUAUGAAAACAAUGACAUUACAUGAAUCCAGCACCUUUUAGUCUCAAUUACAGAAACUCAUUAGUUGUCAAAAGAAUUUAAAUUGAAUGCUAAAUACUCACUUAUUUAAUGGCAUUGAGUUGUUUAAUAUUUACUCUUCAACUAAAGUAUUUAUGAUUGUUGUCUUUUUAUGAGUGGACUAGUGGUAUUGGCAAAGUUAUAGUCCCUUCUCUUUUGUAGACUUUAUUGAUUAUUUACAUUUUAGCUUUCAAUUUUUUAGAGAAUUUCACCACCACUUCCCUUUUGGGUCUAUGUGUAAUUUCUACCAAAAAAAACUUUAGAAAUUAGAAGGUUUCUCUGUUUUUUUCUAAUAAAAUUAGAGGGUUUCUCUGUAUUCUUCCAACUGUUUAGGUCCCUAAGUAAAAUUUUGAAUACAGUAUUGCUAUUAAUUGGACCUUUUCUCUUCAUGUUUCCCAUAUUAAUU